CGUCGCCUGCGGUGUUCGAUGUGGACCUGGGUACCUCUCGACCCUAAUGUGAAAGACCCAGGAGCGUGGUCCAGCGGCAGCAUUGUGCAGGUCCGCCUCGCAGCGGAAAGCCUUAAGUGCCGCAACCUGCUCCACCUGUUGCUCCGGAUCGAGAGCAGCGGUCCGCAACGGCACAGGCGGGUGACGC
rnacentral:other from 1 species